AGUGAAGCUCUGGCUGCCCUCGGAGCCAGCAGAGCCACAGCUUAAGUGGUCUGGACUGCUUUCUGCUCUGGACCCCUGGUUCCCUCCUUGUCAUGGAGGAGGGGUGGUAUUCUUCAUUUUUCUCAGUCCUGAGAAGAACAGAGAAGAACAAUCUUUGCAUCGUCCAUCUGCAGCUGUUUACAGCUAAGGGGGAUGCUGUACCAUCUACUGUGUUCCUGUGAGCAGUAAGAGACCUACUGGCUUUCAUGUCGUUUCCAACACUUGGUGGACCUCCUUGCCCAUCUGGCAGAUGAGCUGAGUUCUUGACACACGUCAGGUACCCGACAACACCUGUAACUCCAGCUCCCGGAGUCUGACCCUUCUCCUGGCCUCCCAGGCACCUGUACUAACAUGCCCAUACCCACAUGCAGACACGACUAAGCAAUUCUGUUUGGAGCUAACUUUUGGGGGCAUCAACGGUGUUUGACUCAAGUUUGAACCCAAGAUCUCCUCAGACAUCCUUCAAACAAGUAUCCUCCGAUGAUUCAGAAACCCCACAAACAGAAAUGUUAGCAAAAGACCUAGGAAAGCUGACCUUCAACCAUAGUGCUAUGAAGCUUUCUUCUCCUUGACCAGAAAAGGACAUCAUCAUCACCACCACCACCAUCAUCAUCAUCUCCACCGCUGGAGGGAGAAUGGGUGGAGAACAGAUGUGGAGAACCAUGGGGAAGGUUCAAAGUGCCUUUCCCAGGAGAAGGGUCCAGACAUUACUGUUGGUACAGAAUGACUCUGUAGCAAAGAGAAACAGAUUAUAAGGAUUGGAUAGAGCUAUUGGUCUUUGUGGAAAUCAGUUUGAAGAAGAUAGUGGACCAUUCAGAUACAUCUGCUCUUUCUGCCUGGAUCAUAGAUGGAUCCUUCUGAGAAUGCUGCCCUGGGGAGAAAGUAGGACAGUCAAUUUAGGCUGAAAUUGUACAUUGCCCUUUACUGCUGAUAAUACUGAUGUAAAAGCUUUUUUUUUUUUUUUGAGAUGAAACUGUACAGAGAUCAUUUUGAAUAAUCUAUGCAUGUAUUUUGUGAUUUAUUUCAGUUCUUUGGCAAUCAUUUUGACUAGUCUAUGUACAAGUUCUGUGAUAUAUUUCGACUCAUUUGCUGCAAUCAUUUGACCAAUCUCUGCGUGAGAUCUGUAAUGCAUUUCCGUUCUUCUAUUUGUCUGAUGCUGCGAUAUGUCUUCCAAACUUGUCCCCAUUGAUCUAUAUGGGAUGUGUAAAGUCUGAAUGCAAGUGAAUGAUUUCAUUAUAUCUUUAUGUUCCAAUUUGACC
rnacentral:lncRNA from 1 species